AGGAAGUAUACUACGACAACCAGGCGAACCUCGUCGAGGCCCAAAAAAAAGGGUCCGAUUUUCAGACCCUCUUCCGUCACUGCAUCGCGAAUUAUC